CCAUCAAACCCCUCCCUUAAUCAUAGCCAUUGAUCUACUUUCAUCCAAAGGCCAAUACUCACUCCCCACUAUCAUAUAAAAACCAAAUUAACAUCCAAAAACCCUAAGCUAAUUCACAUGAACCUAGCCGAUGCGCCCACACCUCAUCUUUACCGCAUAAUUGAUUUUUUUACAAAAAUGACACUCACUGUACACAGAUCAUAGAGAGGAAAACUCCUAACCUAGUUGUUGCUUGCUCCUUCUGUUUUGAGACAUCAUCAGCGCUUCACCUCCCCUUUAGAACUUCAUCAUUCUUUCCCUCAAAAUUAAAGAUACACACACACAUAAACAUAGAAAAGAGGCAGUCGCCUCCCCUCAAAAAGCCCCCUCUUAUUUUCUGUCUCGCCUCAUCGCCGACGAGCUCAGCCAAAAACCGGCGACGGCUACUGCUCCUCCUCCUCCUCCUCCGUCUUCUUCCCAAUUAUUUGUUACUGCUGCGACGGAAGGUGACGAAUCUGGCUGGAAAUCCGGUUUUAAAAGCUAUGGAGUUUCAAUGGAGGUUUUUUGCGCCGUUGAAUUGAGGUUAUCGUCGAGGUCCCCGGUUCGAUCUUUCCGUUUAGUUGGUGAUUCGGGUAGUGUUUGAGUUAUAUCGGUACUCUCUUCCUCGAUGUAUUCAGAGAAAUUCAAUAUUUAAACAAAUUUCAAAGCUUCUGUUCAUUUAAAGAUUCUUAAUCCAAAUCCAGAUGCAAUGUCCAAGUUGAAUACUGAAAAUGCUAGUAAAGAAUUUCUGCAUUCAUUAAGCAAUUAUUGUCAAAAGUGGAAACGUCACACGAUAUGGUUCUACAUGUGUUGUAGUUGCCCAAUGACAAAUGCUUUUGCUUUACUUUUUUUUUAUAUAAAAGAUUAUUGAAUAAGUGCAUUGUUUUCCUUUGAGUUUACAUAGUUAUCAAAAUUAGUGUAUUCAUUUGUUACA